AUUUUAUGUCACUUUGUGAUUGUUCUGUUAAAUCAGGCACAGUACCAAGAAUUUCCAUUCCGUUUCUCAUGAUCACUACGUAAAGAUUUAUAGAAUACUAACAUUAAGCUACGUUUAAUUCCAAAAAAAUAAUCAUCAAAGCGCAUGCGCUCUUGAUAAAUGUACAACAUGAAUAAUUAAAACCGAACGGAUAAAAAAUUAUUAUAAAAACGUGGGAAUUCCACCUGCAAUAAUCUACAAAAACUUUUUCAUUAUUGAUUAACUUUAUUUUAAUAAUUUAUGUAAUUUCAAUUUUUUCAAUUGUACAACUUUAUACUAUUAUUAGGUACAAGUAUAAACGUGUGUUAAUAAUAAAUCGUUAUGAAUACGACUGAUAUUUCUUUUUUAUCAAUCAACUUUUCAAAAAAAUUUGUGAUAUCACCAAUUUCUAGGUUUCUUUAGAUCAGUAUCCAUUCUGUGAAUUGACAGUGACUAAAAUGGAAGAUAUGCCAGUGCAGUUCGAAUUAUCUAUGGAAUAAUUUAGUUAAACAAAUCGUCUUAAGUAAAAACUGAAGAAGCAAUUAUAAUGACAGAAAUAGAACAAUCAAAUUUAAUCUUUUUUCUUCUUAACUUACCGUACCAAAAGUGUCAAUAGAAAGAUAGACUAAUUUUCCAGCUUUUAUAGGUUCAUAAUUUUGAGCUAUGACAAUAGUUAAAACGAAUCCUCGAGCAAGAUUUUCAGCAUGUCGUACCUAUGUAUAUAGGUGAUGGAAACUUACUUUUUCAGUAAACGAUACCAAUCAAUCAUGAAAGUUCUCUCGCCGACUUCACUGCACUAUAAUGAAACAUUUUUCAGUACAAAGUGGUCAAUACAAACAAUUGCAGCUGAUAAAUUCAUAAAGCUAAUAAUUAUAAUAUGUAUACUAAUAAAAAUAAAACAUACUUUGGCUUUUAGAAGUUCACCAAUGUAACAGAAAAGAAAAAUAUUAAAUAUGAAGGAUA